AAAAUUUUGGUUAGGAACUGAUGGAAUCAUUUGCGAUUUCUCGAAUUCUUGACUUGGGGUCAUCCAUUGUGGGAUUUAUUUCGAUAAUCGUAUUUUGUGCAUUUUGGCAAUCCAAGCCCUUUUUCUCUUUGGAAGAACUGGUAUUUUCCGUAUUUUUCUCGAAGAAAGCUUAUUUGAAUAUUCUACUGCUCUCAUUGCAUGUGGUGAUCUUCGGAAUUUUCGUCAAUCAGUCAUACUAGGUUGCAUUUGGUGAAAUUUGAUUGGAAUUCACUGAAAAAUUCCACUCAGUGGAAAAGAAGUCUCAUUGACUGCCCCUGAACAACUGGGGUGUUAGUAGAACGUCAUUGUGUCAUAACGUCUUGGUGGAGCACCACGUUUCUGCGUAGUCCUGUGAGAUUAUCGGUGAGUUAUCUACAACUCUGGAGAUCGAUUUCAUCUUGGAAUCGAGGAAAUUGGGAAAGUAUAGAGGAGUAGUUUCUGAGAGGUGAACCAUCAAGUUGAGGACUAUUGAGGUGUCAACGCGAGUUCUGGACUGUUGAAAUAUCUGUUUUUAUGAAACUUGCCUAUUCCUAAUUAUUUUCUACUGAUAUACUAUUUGUGAAGAACUUUAUUACCAGGCAGGUUCAAACUGCAGAGUUUCAGUUUUAUACAGAUAAGAUUAUUUCGUUACCUUUGUCGAUAUACCAUUUACAAUUUAGGUUAUUUUCAUAUUGACAAGUGAGGUUAUAUUUCAUGCAAAUAUUAUAGAGAAAGUUAUCAUUAUUAGAUCAUUAGUAGGAUUACAAUCCUCAUUGACUGACAACAUAUCGCCUUUAUAUACCGACGAUUAUUUCAUUUGUGAGGUACAGAUUGAACGUAUUUUUUUUUUUUGUUGUAAAGAAUGAUUCCGCAUAAAUUGUUACUAUACUACGCGCAUGCGCCUGAGCUCAAGCGACGCGACGUGGUGGAUAUUUGAUUUCCUCAAUUUCAUUUCCUCUUUCUCACUGUUUUGUAUCAGUGACCCCCCUCCUUAUCGUUCAAUUGCGACCAAUUUGCUCUUCUUGUCAACGCCAAUUUGCAGCUGUAUCUUGUGCUACCUGUAUAAACCUUUUUAUCAUUACACUCUUUUAGUGAA